rnacentral:lncRNA from 1 species
AUUCUCCCGUGACGGUGACACCAACGGUUGGCUGAGGACGAUUCCCUGAGCCUUGACAAAGCAGGAGCCCUCCGUGGCGGUGCGUCGGUGUCGAGGCUCCAAUCUGACUAAUCCAGGGGGUCGACAAAACAGAUUCGGGACACUAUGCUACACGGAGGGCCUACCAGGAUGCAGAAACAGCAGACGGAGUCCAGGGAAAGCAGUGCGGCAUCCCAGCCUCAGGCCUGCCCGUACGGUGUUCGGAAAUACUAGGCUUUAGAAUUUCACCUUAUGAAUUUUGGGAGAGAGGAGCACAGUUCAGCCCAUAACUAACACACGCAAGACAAAUCUCUCCUCUGUCUUUUUCUUAUCAGACUACUCAACAUGAAGGCAAUAAGAAUGAAGACCUUUAUGUAUAAUAAUUGACUUCCACUUAAUAAAUAAGGUUACUUGGUACACUGGUCGACAAAACCUUGAAAUGUUGAUGUUUAAGGGCUGUUGAUUGCUGGCAACAAAGAAGUCCAACUGUGCUGGUACCCGAGAUAGCGUCUCCACAUUUUCUUCCAGGAUCAUCACCUUUGUUGUAAAUAGCUCCCACAUAGUGUGAACAGAAGUCAUAUGUUUUAGAUUUUCUGCCUUGGCACCCAGG